CCUACGGGAGGCAGCAGUGGGGAAUUUUGGACAAUGGGCGCAAGCCUGAUCCAGCCAUGCCGCGUGCGGGAAGAAGGCCUUCGGGUUGUAAACCGCUUUUGUUCGGGAAGAAAUCGACUGGGUUAAUACUCUGGUCGGAUGACGGUACCGGAAGAAUAAGCACCGGCUAACUACGUGCCAGCAGCCGCGGUAAUACGUAGGGUGCGAGCGUUAAUCGGAAUUACUGGGCGUAAAGCGUGCGCAGGCGGUUUCGCAAGUCAGAUGUGAAAGCCCCGGGCUCAACCUGGGAACUGCAUUUGAAACUACGAGGCUAGAGUGUGUCAGAGGGGGGUUAGAAUUCCACGUGUAGCAGUGAAAUGCGUAGAGAUGUGGAGGAAUACCGAUGGCGAAGGCAGCCCCCUGGGAUAACACUGACGCUCAUGCACGAAAGCGUGGGGAGCAAACAGGAUUAGAUACCCUGGUAGUCCACGCCCUAAACGAUGUCAACUAGUUGUCGGAGAGNAUCUUGUACGUACAGCUACGCGUGAGUAGACGCCGUGGAGUACGGUCGCGAGAUAACUACGAAGAGUAGAGNGNGAGAGNGCGACGACGACGACGAGGGAGGAGG
rnacentral:rRNA from 1 species